AUGAAGAGCAAUUUGAAAAUUGACUGACGUGACACUCCUGCGUGUUUCCAUUAUGCAGUACAGGAAAUGAAUUCUUAUUUACUAUUUUAUAGAAAAAUAUGUUGAUAUACACAUAAUGCGUUGCCUGUCAUGAAACAAUUGCGAAAACAGGAUGUAAUUUACUUAUUUAUAGCGUCAAUCAGAGUGUUCCAAUAAGAUGUCCAGGAAAUGGUACAUUAGGUCAAGCGAAUUAUAUAUUAUAUAAAAGUGUGAUGUAUGAUAUAUAAAGGACUCACAAUCAUUAUAAAUUCCACAAAACACAAAGUUUUACAGGAAUACGCAUUAAAGCCAAGGUGAAUCAAAGGUCAGAAGAUUUGAAAUUAGAAUCGACUAAAAAAGAGAGUGAAUAUGGCUAUAAGAUUGAUUUAUCUACUAUUGACAGCAAUACUUAUGAGCGAGUUUGUUUUAGUAACUAGUCAAUUAUGUGAACGUCGAGGAUACCGAUGCAUCAAUAAUGGGUGUACAAGGAGACCCAGUUUUAGCUGUGUACGAAUAGGCAGAACGUGUCGAUGCCGUAGUCCUUACAUUAUAGGAAAUCCCGCACCUUCUCUACCAGAUCAGUCGAACAAUACAGCUUUAGAGACCGAUUUAAGUUAAGAACGACAAAUAUGUUCCCAUGCAACUAUAAGGAGAGACUGAUUACAUUUAGAUGUGCUUGCGCAUAGGAUAUAGCUGCAGGAAUAAUAAAUAGAAUUUCCAAAAAAUAUUGACCGAGAUUUGCUUGCGCAUAGGAUAUAGCUGCAGGAAUAAUUAAUAGAAUUUACAAAAAAAAUGACCGAGAUGUGCUUGCGCAUAGGAUAUAGCUGCAGGAAUAAUUAAUAGAAUUUACAAAAAAAAUUGACCGAGAUGUGUAGAUAAUGUUUAAGUAAAUGCUGUGAAAAUAUGUGGUGUAAAAUGCCGAUGACAGAACUGGAACUAAUCCUUUUGCAACACAAAUUAUGAUUGGACAUAAAUGGCGGCUAUAAGUUUGUAUUUAAAACUAUCCGGAUGCAAUAGCUGGCUUUAUUUAACAAAACGAUUGUUGUCAAUUAAGGAAAAUUAAAAAAGAAAACAUGUUUGUUGCUAAUUCUAUUUACAUGAAAAGCUUUUCUCAAUGUUAAUACAAGUGUAUAAUACAGGAGAAUAAAUUCAAACCUACG